AUUGAACGCUGGCGGCAGGCCUAACACAUGCAAGUCGAGCGAGCGGCGGACGGGUGAGUAAUGUAUGGGAACUGCCUGAUAGAGGGGGAUAACUACUGGAAACGGUAGCUAAUACCGAAUACAAUCCGAUAACCCAUAUGGGAUUAGCUAGUAGGUGAGGUAAUGGCCCACCUAGGCGACGAUCCCUAGCUGGUCGGAGAGGAUGAUCAGCCACACUGGGACUGAGACACGGCCCAGACUCCUACGGAGGCAGCAGUGGGGAAUAUUGCACAAUGGGCGCAAGCCUGAUGCAGCCAUGCCGCGUGUAUGAAGAAGGCCCUAGGGUUGUAAAGUACUUUCAGUCGGGAGGCGUUACCGACAGAAGAAGCACCGGCUAACUCCGUGCCAGCAGCCGCGGUAAUAC
rnacentral:rRNA from 1 species